AAGAGGGAACCCGGUGGGAGUCCGGGACUGCCCCGCAGCGGUGAGCGGGAACGACCGCCGUCACACGCACUGGGCCCGACGAACAGGGCCCGGGAAGCGACGGCCAGUAGGUGUCCCCCCUCGGGGAGGACGAGCCCGCGAGUCCGAAGACCU
rnacentral:ncRNA from 1 species